rnacentral:rRNA from 1 species
UACGUAGGGUCCGAGCGUUGUCCGGAUUUAUUGGGCGUAAAGAGCUCGUAGGCGGUUUGUCGCGUCUGCUGUGAAAUCCCGAGGCUCAACCUCGGGCCUGCAGUGGGUACGGGCAGACUGGAGUGCGGUAGGGGAGAAUGGAAUUCCUGGUGUAGCGGUGGAAUGCGCAGAUAUCAGGAGGAACACCGAUGGCGAAGGCAGGUCUCUGGGCAUUAACUGACGCUGAGGAGCGAAAGCAUGGGGAGCGAACAGG